rnacentral:rRNA from 1 species
UACGUAGGGUGCGAGCGUUGUUCGGAGUUACUGGGCGUAAAGAGUGCGUAGGCGGUUUUCUAAGUUUGGUGUGAAAUCUCCCGGCUUAACUGGGAGGGUGCGCCGAAAACUGGAAGGCUUGAGUAUGGGAGAGGUAAGCGGAAUUCCUGGUGUAGCGGUGAAAUGCGUAGAUAGUCAGGAGGAACACCUGCGGUGUAGACGGCUUACUGGACCAUAACUGACGCUGAGGCACGAAAGCGUGGGUAGCAAACAGG